UACGGGGGGGGCAAGCGUUGUUCGGAAUUACUGGGCGUAAAGGGCUCGUAGGCGGCCAACUAAGUCCGACGUGAAAUCCCAAGGCUUAACCUUGGAACUGCGUCGGAUACUGGAUGGCUUGAAUUCGGGAGAGGGAUGCAGAAUUCCAGGUGUAGCGGUGAAAUGCGUAGAUAUCUGGAGGAACACCGGUGGCGAAGGCGGCAUCCUGGACCAACACUGACACUGAAAAGCGAAAGCCAGGGGAGCAAACGGG
rnacentral:rRNA from 1 species